CGCUAUGUCAGAGCUAGGAUGGGGUCCAGGUGUUACAAUACUGAUUCUUUCAUGGAUCUGCACUCUCUACACGGCAUGGCAAAUGAUUCAAAUGCAUGAGCCUGAACCAGGGAGAAGGCUUGACAGGUAUCACGAGUUGGGGCAGUAUGCGUUUGGAGAGAAGCUAGGACUGUGGAUUGUUGUGCCCCAGCAACUGAUGGUUCAGAUUGGUGUUAAUGUAGUAUACAUGAUAACGGGUGGGAAUUCUCUGAUGAAGAUACAUGAUACUCUUUGUGAUGG
rnacentral:sRNA from 1 species